AUGUUUUUGCCAGCGACGUCCGAAAACCCCACGACGAAAAGUUUGUCAUGUCAGAAUUUUUUGGGGAAUCGCGUGUCCAUUGUUGAAAUGAGGGAACCCGGCCCCCAGUUGCGUGAAGGAACCCCAUCAACAGCUGGAGCUCACGCUCAGUGUUUCCAACUGACUUCACUGCACUACACUGAGUACACAGUAACUACUACAAAGAUGAAUACGAUCAAUAGCAAGAAGAAGAAUGCUAAUAAAGAAAACAAGAGAAAAUGGAACAACAUAACGGCAACAACUUUGGUUGAAAUGUGGCAGCAACGACCCUGUAUUUUCGACGUGUCCACAAAGGAGUUCCACGAUAGGGUGAAGGGAUGCAGCCUGGCGAGAAUAAGCCGACGCCCUUGACCUACCAGGUUGGGCUCUACCGGAGAGGGCGAGACUUCGCCACUCUAUUGACAUACCUGUCGAGAAGAAAGCAAGCAACUUCAGCGUCCCUUUGAAAAUCAUCAUCCCUCAUUACCUCUUUAAACCUGGGAGAAGCUACCCCGCUGUUUUUGGCAACACGGAUUCCUUCCUGUGCCUUCAUGCAUUAUGAACGAAAGUGCAGUGCAGGCUUUCGGGGAAGUGACAAGCAUGUCUCGCUGAGCUCCUUCUACGUUUCAAUCACGCUGGCUCUGAUUGAAAACGCAUUUAGCCUGCUAGUAUCACGUAGUGCUUUAUGUCCCACUCGGCCCUUAUAUUCCGGAAGGACAUGCCUCCUUAGGACUUACCCUUUACAAGUAAAUAAUAUAGGCUAAUGUAAGAAAUAAGAAAUUCUUCUUUCAGGAGGAUAAGUCUGAUUAUUGGCAGAGGUGAUUUUACCCCAAUGAGGACAUAUUUGUAAAUUAACGCAUAGAUUUUUUUUAGCAAAUAUAUUACUUAAAACACUACACAGUGUCCCUUUAAUGGCCCUCUGGCCUGUUUUACAUAAACUAAACAGCGUUCUCUGUGGGAGUGACUCAAGGCUGUCAUUGGAUAUGGGUCUCAUGCUUGGUUGGCAUAUCUGUGGUCCCCUGCAUUGGUUUUUGCAUUGACAGUGGCUUCUCAUUGCAACCAAAGGAACACAUUUUAAAAUUCCCACUUAUUACUGUUUUAUUAGCCUGUCAACUGAUUGAUAAUGUGAACAGAAUUUGAGAAGGUAAUUUGGUUAUCUUAUUGUUUAAUCCUCAGUAUUUUCAUUUACACAAAAGAGGUAUGUAUUAAUAAUUUUUGGUUUACGACCAGGGCAAUGUGCAGUGGGAUGUUAAUGUACUGCCUGAUGUAUACACUGGUAUUCACAAGCUAUGGCAUGGUAAUACAUUUAAUAUGCAAAUGUUAAAAAUACUUAUUUAUAAUAAUUUUGGAAUCAAAUGUAUUGGUUUUUUUUUUAGGGGUUUUUAUUUAACAGAAAAUAAAUCAAAUUUCAGCUGCAGUUCCUCAUUUGUUACACAAACCAAUAUAAUUUUAUGUCUUCACUUAUGAUUGUUGUGGGUUUAGUUACACAGUCACAUUCCAGCGGAUGUAUUUUUUGGCAAUUUGGUUUGAAGGUCCUGGAGACACUCUCCUGGCUUAUGGCAGUGGUGAGACAAAGACCACCAGUCCAUCUCCAAAGGAAGGGGUCAAUAUUUCUUGAAUGUGUUGCAACAACAACACAUUCAAGAUCAAUCUCUUCAAAAGUGAUUUAUCUAUUUAUAUAAAUUUUUCAUCUAAAAAUGCUCCAGUUUUUCCGGAGCUAUUUGCUGCUGCUGACGUUAGCGGACCCAAACUCUCCUGGCAGUAGCGGCAGUGGUGUAUUAAUCAGUAUGUCCUCACACCGACCCCUAUUACUCUGCCAUCAGAAUCUUUCAGGCCUUAUCGGACUCAUUUCCUGGUGUUGGCUGAGCUACAGUGUGGGUUUUUGAUGCAGAAAACAGACAGUGCUGAAUUGGACACUGUGGACAGAAUGUUAUCUGCUGGGAGCUCCCCAGAUCAAGAUGGGUUCAUAAGGUCAAUGUGAGUUUACGUGCUAGAUUUCCAGCAUCUUCAAACAAUCUGUCUAUUACAAAAUGUGAACUAUAAUCUAAACUAUUUAACAUUUGGUACUAAACUCUUCCUGCUUCAUGUUUUGUGUCUGUAAGUAUUGUAUUGAAGUAGGCUUGUUUUAAUUGAACACAAGUAAUUCAUCUCUAUGGGCGAUUCUAUGCAUUAUUGUGAGAGAUAUUAACAUAGGGUUAGAAAUAAUUGUGGACCUUUGUAUUUGAUCCUGAGCUAUGAUUUAACAUUACCAGUAAUUGAUUAGUCAGUUAUUUUUUGUGUGUGUGCUUGUUCAUGUUUGUGUGCAUGUUUCUGUGCUGGAGAUGGCUAAUUCAGGAGUUAUCAUUGGAUUUAGUAUAUGCAGCACUUUUGAUAUACAAAAGUAAUAUGGUGUAUUGCACAAUAUGUAAUGAUGUGUUGUCCCUUAGCAUAGAAAAAUAUACUCUUGACUAAAAACCUUGUAUAACCUAGCUUAAGAUAUGCUUAAACCUCCACAUAUUUGAUCCAUAGACAAAAACUUGUGUCAAACUCUUCAAAAGGAGCAAACAACCUUUACCCAAACACAUUUGAAUAAGAAGAAAUGAGAAGCAAUCAUAGGUGGUUCUACUUUAGUUCAGAAAAUCCAACUAUAUAUUCAAG
ensembl:lncRNA